rnacentral:rRNA from 1 species
CAGCAGCCGCGGUAAUACAGAGGGUGCGAGCGUUAAUCGGAUUUACUGGGCGUAAAGCGUGCGUAGGCGGCUUUUUAAGUCGGAUGUGAAAUCCCUGAGCUUAACUUAGGAAUUGCAUUCGAUACUGGGAAGCUAGAGUAUGGGAGAGGAUGGUAAAAUUCCAGGUGUAGCGGUGAAAUGCGUAGAGAUCUGGAGGAAUACCGAUGGCGAAGGCAGCCAUCUGGCCUAAUACUGACGCUGAGGUACGAAAGCAUGGGGAGCAAACAGGAUUAGAUACCCCCGUAGUCCCUGUCUCUUAUAC